rnacentral:rRNA from 1 species
GUAGGUGGCAAGCGUUGUCCGGAAUUAUUGGGCGUAAAGCGCGCGCAGGCGGUUCUUUAAGUCUGAUGUGAAAGCCCACGGCUCAACCGUGGAGGGUCAUUGGAAACUGGAGAACUUGAGUACAGAAGAGGAAAGCGGAAUUCCACGUGUAGCGGUGAAAUGCGUAGAGAUGUGGAGGAACACCAGUGGCGAAGGCGGCUUUCUGGUCUGUAACUGACGCUGAGGCGCGAAAGCGUGGGGAGCAAACAGGGAUCAGAUACCCUGGUAGUCCACGCCGUAAACGAUGAGUGCUAAGUGUUAGGGGGGUUUCCGCCCCCCUUAGUGCUGCAGCUAACGCAUUAAGCACUCCCGCCUGGGAGUACGGCCGCAAGGCUG